AGAACGAACGCUGGCGGCAUGCCUAACACAUGCAAGUCGAACGCUUCCGGGGCUUCGGUCGCGGAGGAGUGGCGCACGGGUGAGUAGCGCGUGGGAACCUGCCCUGUUGUGGGGGAUAACCGAGGGAAACUUCGGCUAAUACCGCAUACGCCCCGGGACUUGGUCUUCGGAUUAGGUCUGGGGGGAAAGAUUGAUCGCAGCAGGAGGGGCCCGCGUCGGAUUAGCUGGUUGGUGGGGUAACGGCUCACCAAGGCGAUGAUCCGUAGCUGGUCUGAGAGGAUGAUCAGCCACACUGGGACUGAGACACGGCCCAGACUCCUACGGGAGGCAGCAGUGGGGAAUAUUGGACAAUGGGGGCAACCCUGAUCCAGCAAUGCCGCGUGAGUGAUGAAGGCCUUAGGGUUGUAAAGCUCUUUCGCCGCGACGAUGAUGACGGUAGCGGGAGAAGAAGCCCGGCUAACUUCGUGCCAGCAGCCGCGGU
rnacentral:rRNA from 1 species